rnacentral:rRNA from 1 species
GACGAACGCUGGCGGCGUGCCUAACACAUGCAAGUCGAACGGAAAGGCCCGGCUUUUGUGGGGUUCUCGAGUGGCGAAGGGGGGAGUGAAACGCGAGUAACAUGCCCUUGACUUUGGGAUAACUUCAGGAAACUGGGGCUAUUACCGGAUAGGAGCUCCUGCUGCAUGGUGGGCAUUGGAAAGAUUCGGCGGUUGGGGAUGGACUCGCGGCUUAUCAGCUUGUUGGUGGGGUAGUUGCGUACCAAGGUUUUGACGGGUAGCCGGCAUGAGAGGGUGACCGGCCACAUUGGGACUGAGAUACGGCCCAGACUCCUACGGGAGGCAGCAGUGGGGAAUAUUGCACAAUGGGCGGAAGCCUGAUGCAGCAACGCCGCGUGCGGGAUGACGGCCUUCGGGUUGUAAACCGCUUUCGCCUGUGACGAAGCGUGAGUGACGGUAAUGGGUAAAGAAGCACCGGCUAACUACGUG